UCUGACCUCACCUACUCAUCUUCCCACCUCUAACAGAGUGCAGCUGGUCAUGGAGUGUGGACAUGAACAUGCACAUGCACACCCUUGUUGCAUACUCCCCAGGACCGGGAUUCAUGGCGUGGGGAGAGAAUCAGGAAAGUGAUGGAGAACACGCAAACUCAGUGCCACCUGACCAGACCUCUCAAUAGAAAAGGUGAAAUAUACUUCCCUUCUCUAUCACUGUGGGUCCUGUUCAACAGACUGCUAUGGAUUUACACAUCUUGGCCUGGAGUCCUGCUUUUCCUAUCUGCUUUAAGAGGAAUAAGUUGGGUAAUUCUCAUUCCAGGACUAUGUGGAGACUCUCUAAAUGGACCAACCACAGCCUGGCACCAAGCCAAUAGGAACCAUAUCUGUCAGUGAGAAGUAAAUGCUUGUUGUCAUCUCAUGAACUUGUGGAUUAUUUGUUACAUAGCAUUAUUUCCACAAUAGCUGACUAAUGGACUGUGGGACAUUUGGCUAGUUACUUACGUUAAUCUCUGAGGGAUACAGUUUCCUCAUCUAUAAAAAAUGGGCA
rnacentral:lncRNA from 1 species